rnacentral:rRNA from 1 species
AUGAUGAACCGCAUCCGGCAUAAUUCUCCAUCACCGAUCCAAUGUCCACGAGCUUUUCACAUAUUGUUCUUCGCUUAUUUACUUUUCCAUUGCUACUGUUACAAUCACUACAAAACCCAAAAAUAUUACUUUUGCUAUCGUUACCGUUACUUCCAUAUUACUUUGCUACUAAAUACUUUUCUGCAGAUAUUAAGUUAUCCAGGUGUGGCUGAAUUGACAACUCAGUUGCUAAUACUUGAGAAUAUUCUUUGGCUGCCCUUGUGUCGAAUCAAUAAAUUUGGGUUGAAUACUCUACCCUCGAAAACUGUUGCGAUCCCCUAUACUUGUGGGUUAUCAUGCACCGCGGCGUGA